rnacentral:rRNA from 1 species
AUUGAACGCUGGCGGUAUGCUUAACACAUGCAAGUCGAACGGUAACAGGCCUUCGGGCGCUGACGAGUGGCGGACGGGUGAGUAACGCGUAGGAAUCUGCCUCAUAGUGGGGGACAACGUGGGGAAACUCACGCUAAUACCGCAUACGCCUACGGGGAAAGGCGGGGGAGUCUUCGGACCUCGCGCUAUGAGAUGAGCCUGCGUUAGAUUAGCUAGUUGGUAGGGUAAAGGCCUACCAAGGCGACGAUCUAUAGCUGGUCUGAGAGGACGAUCAGCCACACUGGGACUGAGACACGGCCCAGACUCCUACGGGAGGCAGCAGUGGGGAAUAUUGGACAAUGGGCGCAAGCCUGAUCCAGCAAUACCGCGUGUGUGAAGAAGGCCCUAGGGUUGUAAAGCACUUUCAAUUAGGGAGGGAAAACCUAGCCGGUCAAUACCCGGCAGCUUGACAUUACCUUUAGAAGAAGCACCCGG